CUGCUUUUAGAUGAGUCUGCGUCUGAUUAGCUAGAUGGUGGGGUAACGGCUUACCAUGGCGACGAUCAGUAGUCGGCCUGAGAGGGUGACCGGCCACAUUGGGACUGAGACACGGCCCAAACUCCUACGGGAGGCAGCAGUGGGGAAUCUUCCGCAAUGGGCGAAAGCCUGACGGAGCAACGCCGCGUGAUCGAAUGAAGGCCUUCGGGUUGUAAAGAUCUGUUGACAGGGACGAAUAAGCAAUGCGAAUAGUUUUGUGUAUGACGGUACCUGUUUAGAAAGCUCCGGCUAACUACGUGCCAGCAGCCGCGGUAAUACGUAGGGAGCAAGCGUUGUCCGGAAUUACUGGGCGUAAAGGGCGCGUAGGUGGGCGCUUAAGUCAGGUGUGAAAACUCCGGGCUCAACCUGGAGACUGCACUUGAAACUGGGUGUCUUGAGGGCAGGAGAGGAAAGUGGAAUUCCUAGUGUAGCGGUGAAAUGCGUAGAUAUUAGGAGGAACACCAGUGGCGAAGGCGACUUUCUGGACUGUACCUGACGCUGAGGCGCGAAAGCGUGGGUAGCGAACGGGAUUAGAUACCCCGGUAGUCCACGCCGUAAACGAUGAAUACUAGGUGUAGGAG
rnacentral:rRNA from 1 species